UGUAGCUUAGUGGUACAGCCUGUGUCUAGCAUGCACAAGGCCCUGGGUUUGAUACCCAGCA
rnacentral:tRNA from 1 species